UGUUCAUGCUGCACAAGUUCUCCACCGGAGCCGCGAACAUUGCAUCCAGGAACCAAAACUGCCCAACAUCCUGAAACUUUGUGGGCAGCAGCUUAUGCUCGCGCACAAGCGCAUCCCAGGCCCCAUCUCUCCCCUUCAUCAGACUCUCCAGGUUGAAGCUCUCGCCGUCGAACGGGACAGGAUCCAGCCCCAUCUCGUCCGCGAUCACAGCCCAGAGGCGCUUCCAUUUGAACACAUCCCCGUUGGUGGUAUUGAGCGCCUGGUUCUUGGCAGCCGGAUGCGUGGCAGCCCAGAUCUCCUGCUCGGCAAUCAGAUCCGCAUCGGAUGCAUCUAUCAGGCCCUCCCAUGUCGCCCUGCUCCCGAAGAAUCGGAAUGGCAGCUUGUCGCGCUUGCAGAUCGCGGCGUAGACGGCCAGCCCCAGGAUACAAUUCAUAUAGUUCCUGGGUGCGAAUCCAAAGAUGGCGCCGGGGCGGUGGAUCGAAUACGUGAGAUGCGGGUGCUGCUUCACCCUGUCGAACAGGAGAUCCUCCUGGACGUAGUAGAAGUUGGGGACCGGAAGCCUGGGAGAGUCUUCCCGGAACGGAACCUCCGCGGGCAUCACAUCCUGCCACUGAUCGAACGGCCCCACGUAGUGCUUCGCCCCCGUGGUCAGGCAGACAUGGCGGAGCGCUCCUGGAAGCAGAGCGUCGAGGGUGUUGCGGAAGAUCGUCCCAUUCGCAUCGCAGUUCUCCUCCUCCGUUUGCAUGGGGAUCCAGGCCGCCCAGAAGAGAGUCGUGAUGCGGUUCUUGAGCGGCGACAGCUUGGUCUGCACAUCCACCCCAUCCAGCAGAUCCAGCUGCACGUAGCUCACUUUGCUGGGCAGCCAGUCGGGGCGAUCGCGGCGCCCCGUGCCGUAGACUUGCCAGGACCCCUGCUCCAGGAGCUUGCGGCAGAUGCUGUUCCCAUUGAUGCCGGUCACGCCGAUUACAAUCGCCACACGCUCUUCCGCCAUAGGCACACACAAACACUGGGCCCAAGUGGAGUUAAAUACUGGUCUGCGGAUGUGGUGCCGUGCCGUGGUGAAAGAAGCAUCUACUUAAAAAUGACAAAACAGUAUGUAAUAUUAAAAAAAAUUACAUAGUUUAUAUCUGGUGAUGCAUUGCAUCUGAUCAAUUUGUGGUUUGUUUAAUGGAUAUUGAAUAUAGAUAAAAUAUGCUUGGAUAUUCUAGAAUAUUUUACCAUCUUGGUUUGCUUAAGCAAACCUGUUAGUAGUGAAUAUACCUAAAAUAUGCUUCAAUAUUUUAGGAUAUUCUACCUUCUAACUGUUGUUAUUCAUUUAGAUUAAUUUUUGUAUUUAUAAUUUAUAAACAUUCUUAAACCCUUUCUAGUAUAUUCUUUUUUAUUCUAUUAUCUAAUGGUUGAUAUGCAAUAAAAAUUAAUCUUGUGUUUAUAAAUUACAAACAUGCUUAUAAUUAUAAAUUUUAUUUGAUCAAUUGGAUUAAUAAGUAAGAAUAACACUACUAUCUUAUCAUUAUUAUUAUAUGCAAAUUUAUAGUUCUUUAUUUUGUAUAUUUUCAUGAUGAUAUAACUAGCACCUACAUUGGAGCUGAUACAUAUAAAAAUUACUUAUCACAACCCUCAAUGCAUCAUGUGCAUUCCUUAAUCCCCAAUUUGUCCAAUCUUUGAGCAGCAUCAACUCUACUACUUCACUAAUAAAAAGGCAUUGUCUAUCAAGGCAUUGUACAAGUAUUGCUUAGUAGAGCAAUUAAUUUGAGGCUGCAGUCUUGGAGAAUAAAGUAUCAGCAUUGUUUAUUUAUAUGUUACCUUUGCCAAACAUAAUAGACAAUGUAGAAAGUAGUGGUAGUUCAAGCCACAGGUGAAACAGUGAACUCUUACAUACUAAGCUGGACAUACCUGAAUCUCUAAACCCAAGACUCCUCCAGCAUCAAUCCACAUCAAUAUUGAAUUGAAGAUUUCAAAGAUUAGUUACAUACUUCAAAGCUGUGGCAACUCUAAGUACCAAAACUAUGGAUUCAUGAAAGCAUUUUGGUGCAAACAAAUGAUAAUACUCACUCAAAGCUGUGGCAGAAAUCCUGAAGGAUCUACCUCUUCCCAACAGACAACCAUACAUGAAUCUACCAAUAUAGGGAGCCAUGUCAACAGGGAGCCAAGAGAACCAUUACCAUUGACAAGAAUAUUAAGAAUAUUCUGCACACUAAAGAAUAUUCUAUUAAGUUAGUGGAAAUAUUUUUAUUAAAUAGGUAUUUUAGUAAGUUUAAUAGUAUUUAGAUCUGUGUGAACUACCAAUAUCUAAUCUUAUUGGCAAGAAUAACACUACUAUUAAGUAAACCAAGUGUUGUUAUAUGCAACAUAAAACAAUUUAUUAUUCAUUUAGAUAAAUUUUGUAUUUCUAAUUUAUAAACUUUCUUAAACACUUCUUAGUAUAUUCUAGUUUAUUCUACCAUCUAAUUAUUGAUAUUUAAUAAGAUUAAUCUUGUGUUUAUAAAUUAUAAGCAUGUUUAUAAUUAUAAACUUCCAUUAGAUACAUUGAAUUAAUAAAUUCAUUAAAUUAUAUGUAAUGUAUAACAAAUUAUUUUUGGUUUGUUUAAGUAAAAACCUAUAAGGGGACCGGGAUAUGUGAAACACAAAUCCUUAAGCCCCAAAGUGGAGCUGAAACAAUGCUAUCUGAUGCUGAAGUAGAAGCCAAACAAAUGCAACACAUUUGGACUAAAAUGCUUUCACUUAAAUAGUCAAGAAUGGGAGUGGAACUCCUAACGAAGUGCUCAGGGAACGAACAUGAAACAAGUUGUAAGUGAGUCUCUAGAAAAAGGACCUAAGACGGAGUUUAAAAUAGGACUCAAGAUGGACCCGAGAUGGAGUUCGAGAUGGAGUAUAAAAUAGGCCCAAGAAGGAGUCCGAGAUGGACUUGAGAUGGAGUCCAAGAUGGAUCUAAGAUGGAGUCUAAGAUGAACUUGAGAAAAAAUCUAAAAUGGACCUGAGAUGUUGUCCAAAAUGAAAUCCAAGAUACACCUAAGAUGGAGUCCAAAAUGUAGUCCGAGAUGGAACUAAGAUGAAGCCUGAGAUGGAGUCCAAAAUGGAACUGGGACUGAGGCCGAGACCAAGUCUAAGUCUGAGACCGAGUCUGAGUCCAAGUCCAAAUACUAAUAUAGGUUACAAUGAAUAUAGACUGAUAAACAAGGGUAGCUUGGUGAAGUGUUCAAGAGUUGGCUAUAAUUCCCCCAGGAGAUUGAAUGGUUGAUACUCUCAGUCCAAGCGUGGGUGGCACUAUUUACUUGGAUACUUGGCAUGGCUCAAUGAAACCUCAUUCUAACCCCAUGGCUAGAACAGUCAAAGGCAGAAGGUGCGGAGAGUACCCAUGAGGCUCGCAUAAGGCCUCAGUGUUCCAAAAUGUUAUCCUAAAGUCCCAAACUAUGGAAAGGAAGAGGAGCAAUCCUUUGGUGUAAUGACCAAGGAUACAGUCACAUAGUCAGGAAGUCUUAGAGCAUAGUGGGACUUAAUAGUCAGGCCGAUGGGCCUUAAUCCAGUGGCAAUGUUGGUAAACAUGGCCAUGGAUAGAAAGAGACUUAGUACAGAUGGUCUAAUUUUAGAGAGAUGAAUCUAUGAUGUAGGUGGUGUUGGACCACUAGUGUGACAAAAGGUGAAUGAGCACAACCUUAAUGCAAUGAGUUAAUAAAUUAGUGAUACCUUUAAGUGUUGAUUAUGGGAUUGAAUAUGUGGAGCACUUGGACCAAGUGGCAAAGAUUAAGUAGCAUAGGUGCCAUUUUUGGGGCUAACAAGUCCCCAAGUUUAGAAUAAAAUUUAUAAAAGUGGGGAGUAAAAGUCUUCCAAGUGGUUGGAAGUGUGGUUAAAUGACUAAAGUAAAAUGAAAAAUUUAAUCACUUACAAUAUACUAUAAAUAACUAAAGAGAACAACUUAAAAAAUUAUCUAUAUAUUUCAAAAAUAAAAAAAAAGGGAUAUGAAUAAGAGUGCAUCCCUUUUUUCAAUCGGUUAAAGGCUUUUUUCACUCAAUUAAUGGUUUUGGGAUACUUAAGAUUAAAUUUUUUUGGGGUUAUAUAUCCUUGAGUUUGGGUUGAGUGACCUCCUGGGAAGUCCAAAUUCAUGAGUUAAUUCAUAAUUUAUAAACAUGUUUAUAAAUUCUAAACUUUCUUAAACCCUUUUUAGUAUAUUUUUUUUCAUUCUACCAUCUAAUGGUAAUAAGAUUAAUCUUGUGUUUAUAAAUUACAAACAUGCUUAUAAUUAUAAACUUUAUUUGAUCAAUUGGAUAAAUAAAUAGGAAUAACACUAUUAUUAAGCAAACCAAGCAUUGUUACAUACAACACAUAGCAAAUCAUUAUCAUUUCUACAGAAAAAAUAAUACAAACUAAAUUCUUAACAAGUUUUUGAAAAUUGCUGACAAGUUAUUACUAAUACUAAUAGUGAGUGUAUCUUAACAGACAAAAACCUCUAUAAAACUUGCAAUCUUCAACAUACCAGUUUUCAUUUGAGUGUCAAACGAACCAGUGCUUUUGAGAACAAUUCCUCUCCCAGGCCAUCUAGCGAGCACCAUGUGCGUCUUUGAGAACAAAGGCACCUUGAAUCCGUUUCCUGAGAGAAAGAUUUAAUUCACGAUUCUCAAUAAGAGCACUGUGAAACCUGUCCAUGGCAAGGCCCUUGACAUCCUAUGAAAGCAGUGGAGGCGCUCGACAUCGUUUCCAAGGUUGAGAACCGAUCCUUUGGAAAAUAAAACGUGCACUAAAGCUCAUGUCAGAUGCGUGCAAACAAUACCGUGCCACAAAAAAGUUUUCACUAAUCUGCUGGUCCUUCUUUCUGAAUCUUUCCUGAAGGAUAUAAUAUUAAGAAGGAUAUUAUAUUAGUGUCUCCCAAGCCAAACAAGACCUGGCUGAAAAGAACAUGUCUGUCACAAACUUCAUGUUCACGCUUCAUGUUUGCCAAGACACCCGGAGAUCCUUCUGAAAGCAUAAACACCUGCAAAGAAAUAAGAAAGAUUCAAUACUUCAUUGUUUCCUUCUUUAUUGCCCAAAAACUUGACGACCUAUCGCUCGAGGAGAUCCACCGCCCGACGUAGCACCAUCUCGAAAAGAGCGCGAAGGGAGAGGCGGCCCGCCGCCGUAAGCCCGGAACACCACGUCAUUAGUUUGCGUUAAGCAAUGGGCUCAGAGCAAAUAUCCGACGCGAUAAUCCUUCACAAAGUUUUGUGAGCAUUUCUCUAAUUUUGAAGAGCAAUACACUUAUAUGUAGAGCAGACCGUACUCCUCCUGCAACCAGAGAAUUAGGGAACGAUCUUUUCCGCCUUGAGCACCUGAAUCCAGUGCCGCACAGACUUCUCGCUGUUCCGAAAUCCCAGAAACCCGAGCUCCUUGCUCUUGUUCAUGUUGCUCAAGUUCUCUACUGGAGCCCCGAACAUUGUAUCCAGGAACCAAAACUGCCCAACAUCGUGGAACUUUGUCGGCAGCAGCUUGUGCUCGCGCACAAGAGCAUCCCAGCUCCCUUCCUUCCCCCUCAUCAGAUGCUCCAGGCUGACGCUCUCGCCGUCGAACGGGGCAGGAUCCACCCCCAUCUCGUCCGCGAUCACAGCCCAAAGCUGCUUAUAUUUGAACACAUCCCCGUUGGUGAUAUUGAACGCCUGGUUCUUGGCAGCCGGAUGCGUGGCAGCCCAGAUCUCCUGCUCGGCAAUCAGAUCCGCAUCGGAUGCAUCCGUCAGGCCCUCCCACGCUGCCCUGCUCCCGAAGAAUCGGAAUGGCAGCUUGUCGCGCUUGCAGAUCGCGGCGUAGACGGCCAUCGUCAGGAUGCAGUUCAUAUAGUUCCUGGGCGCGAAUCCGAAGAUGGUGCUGGGGCGGUGGAUCGAAUACGUGAGAUGCGGGUGCUGCUUCACCCUGUCGAACAGGAGAUCUUCCUGGACGUAGUAGAAGAUGGGGACCGGAAGCCUGGGAUAGUCUUCGCGAAACGGAACCUCCGCGCGCGAGAGAUCUUUCCCGAACUGUUCGAACGGCCCUACGUAGUGCUUCCCCCCCGUGGUCAGGCAGACAUGGCGGAGCGCUCCUGGAAGCAGAGCGUCGAGGGUGUUGCGGAAGAUCGUCCCAUUCGCAUCGCAGUUCUCCUCCUCCGUUUUCAUGGGGAUCCAGGCCGCCCAGAAGAGAGUCGUGAUGCGGUUCUUGAGCGGCGACAGCUUGGUCUGCACAUCCACCCCAUCCAGCAGAUCCAGCUGCACGUAGCUCACCUUGCUGGGCAGCCAGUCAGGGCGAUCGCGGCGCCCCGUGCCGUAGACUUGCCAGGAUCCCUGCUCCAGGAGCUUGCGGCAGAUGCUGUUUCCAUUGAUGCCGGUCACGCCGACCACAAUCGCCACACGCUCUUCCGCCAUAGCCACGCACAAACACUGUGCCAAGUGGAGUUAAAUACUGGUUUGGGGAUCGAAUCCCGCCGCAUGCAUUGGUGGUGCCGUGGGGAGAUUUUUCUGGGCUCUGGAAGAAUCAUCUACUUGUAUACAUAGUCUGGUGCAUUGCAUCUGAUCAGUUUUUUUAAUCAUUUUAUAAAAUAACUGACAAUUGCUUUCUAAUUGAAGUUUAACAGACAACUUGCAACCCGUUAUUCUUCAACAGAUAAUACGUACCAUUUUUGGUUCGAGUGUCAUGAACGAACCUCAGCAACGGGUGCUUCUGAGAACAAUUCCUCUCCCAGGCCAUCUAGCGAGCACCAGGUUCUUCUUUGAGAACAAAGGCGCCUAAGAAAUCAUUUUUUCACUAUGACUUCCUCUCCUAGCUCUUUAGAAAGCAGGUUUCGCUGUGGAGGCGCUCGAGGUCGCUUCCAAGGUUGAGAAACGAUCCUUCGGAAAAUGAAACGCGUCUUUCUGAAUCUUUCCUGCAUAUCAAGAAGGAUAUUAGUGUCUCUCAACCCAAACAAGAUCUGGCCGCUACCUCGGACACUUUUGAAAGCAUAAACACCUGCAAAAGAAAUAACGAAGACUCAAUACUUCAUUAUUUCCUUAUUGCCCAAAAACUUUACCAGCAUUGAUUGUCGGUAGCCUAAGAACAAAAAGAGAAAUAAAAAGAUCAUGCAUCUGGAAUCAAAGGGUUUAGGGUUCCUGAGAGAAACACCACGUAGAUGGUCUUUCACAAAGUUAUAUGGGGACAGAACGCAACUCCUGCGACCACAGAACUAAGGCACGAUCUUUUCCGCCUUGAGCACCUGGAUCCAGUGCCGCACAGACUUCUCGCUGUUUCGAAAUCCCAGAAACCCGAGCUCCUUGCUCUUGUUCAUGUUGCUCAAGUUCUCCACUGCACGCUCGAACAUUGUAUCCAGGAACCAAAACUGCCCAACAUCUUGAAACUUUGUGGGCAGCAGCUUAUGCUCGCGCACAAGCGCAUCCCAGGCCCCAUCUCUCCCCUUCAUCAGACUCUCCAGGUUGAAGCUCUCGCCGUCGAACGGGACAGGAUCCACCCCCAUCUCGUCCGCGAUCACAGCCCAGACGUGCUUCCAUUUGAACACAUCCCCGUUGGUGAUAUUGAGCGCCUGGUUCUUGGCA
rnacentral:lncRNA from 1 species